CACCCAACCUUGAUGAGCUGGAAGGGGUAUCUGUUGAGUCUCCUCUUGGAUUUCAAAUCUCCCUGAUUUUUUGGUUUGAGAUCCAUACUAUAUUCAAAUGACCUGACUUCAUGCUCAAGGGGGAUUAAAGUUCUACUUUAAACCUUUAAGAGGAAAUCUCUGAAGAAAUCGUGGAUGGAAAUCCUGGCCAGUUACAUUCACUGAACCUUGAAACAAUUGUUACAAGAAACUCAACACGCCUGACUCAGGGUUACUGUUCAUUCUUCUGGAAGCUGCAGAGAAAGGGAACCUGGAAACCUGAUUACCCAUGUGGAAUAGGACCAUCUGAGAAUGAGUUUUUCUAGUGAUGUGGGACUAAGCUCCUGAACAUAAAAGGAGCCAAAAUUGUUUGAGUUCAUCUACAAUGCUUUCUUUGAAAAACCCUGAUGAAAAGUGGGGAGAGGAUAAAAGAAAAAUCUCUCGGAGCUGUCUGAGGUAUUUGAGGUAUGCAAAAUUUAUCAGGUCCAGAGAGACAUGAGUAUGGGAUUUUAAUUAUAUUCCCGUAUCCAUGCCUGGAGGCAAUUGUUUAGAAACAUUUUUAUUCCUGAAUUGCUGCCUCACCCGUUAUCUUCAUGUUCCUGGAAUUUGUAAUACAAAGAACAUUGUAUAGCCAAUCAAUAGCUUAUGUAAAUAAAUGUAAACUCUUGGUAAACAACUUAGAAACAUUCUCUCUUUUUUUCCUCAAAAACCUACUUAUCAGGGCUGCUAAUUGGAGUGUGUAUUCAGGGCAACUUGAAUCUAUGCUCCCAGGAGGCCAUACUUAAC
rnacentral:lncRNA from 10 species